rnacentral:rRNA from 1 species
GAUGAACGCUGACAGAAUGCUUAACACAUGCAAGUCAACUUGAAUUUGGGUUUUUAACUUAGGUUUGGGUGGCGGACGGGUGAGUAACGCGUAAAGAACUUGCCUCACAGUUAGGGACAACAUUUGGAAACGAAUGCUAAUACCUGAUAUUAUGAUAAUAGGGCAUCCCAUAAUUAUGAAAGCUAUAAGCGCUGUGAGAGGGCUUUGCGUCCCAUUAGCUAGUUGGAGAGGUAACGGCUCACCAAGGCGAUGAUGGGUAGCCGGCCUGAGAGGGUGAUCGGCCACAAGGGGACUGAGACACGGCCCUUACUCCUACGGGAGGCAGCAGUGGGGAAUAUUGGACAAUGGACCAAGAGUCUGAUCCAGCAAUUCUGUGUGCACGAUGAAGUUUUUCGGAAUGUAAAGUGCUUUCAGUUGGGAAGAAAUAAAUGACGGUACCAACAGAAGAAGUGACGGCUAAAUACGUGCCAGCAGCCGCGGUAAUACGUAUGUCACGAGCGUUAUCCGGAUUUAUUGGGCGUAAAGCGCGUCUAGGUGGUUAUGUAAGUCUGAUGUGAAAAUGCAGGGCUCAACUCUGUAUUGCGUUGGAAACUGUAUAACUAGAGUACUGGAGAGGUAAGCGGAACUACAAGUGUAGAGGUGAAAUUCGUAGAUAUUUGUAGGAAUGCCGAUGGGGAAGCCAGCUUACUGGACAGAUACUGACGCUGAAGCGCGAAAGCGUGGGUAGCAAACAGG